rnacentral:rRNA from 1 species
AUGGAAUUUCAGAGCCUAUGUCAUAUUGGGGCGUCCUGUGGCCGAUGCAACACUCCGAUUCGGUCCUGCUGUCCAUCACCAUUGCCGUGGAACAACUGCACUUCAAGACUGGGGAGGAGCUGCGGAGUCAGCCAGGAGAAGCGCCGGAGCUGCCUGCCUGUGGUGGCGGUGCGGGCGGGAGGAAGGGCCAAAGCUGCGAUGGGUGGCUGCACUCGGCGGUCCCCAGGAGCUGCGGAGUCAGCCAGGAGAAGCGCCGGAGCUGCCUGCCUGUGGUGGCGGUGCGGGCGGGAGGAAGGGCCAAAGCUGCGAUGGGUGGCUGCACUCGGCGGGAGGUGCCGCAGCUACAGUGAGUGGGGGCGCGCCGGAGCUGGGCGGGGUUUUGUUUAG